UACGGAGGGUGCAAGCGUUAUCCGGAUUCACUGGGUUUAAAGGGUGCGUAGGCGGACAGGUAAGUCCGUGGUGAAAUCCUGCAGCUUAACUGCAGAACUGCCAUGGAUACUAUCUAUCUUGAAUAUCGUGGAGGUUAGCGGAAUAUGUCAUGUAGCGGUGAAAUGCUUAGAUAUGACAUAGAACACCCAUUGCGAAGGCAGCUAACUACGCGAUAAUUGACGCUGAUGCACGAAAGCGUGGGGAUCAAACAGG
rnacentral:rRNA from 1 species